rnacentral:rRNA from 1 species
UACGUAGGGACCAAGCGUUGUUCGGAAUUAUUGGGCGUAAAGGGCGCGUAGGCGGUGCUGUAAGUCUGUGGUGAAAUCUCUGGCUCAACUCAGAGUCUGCCAUAGAAACUGCAGUGCUGGAGUGUGGGAGAGGUGAGUGGAAUUCCCGGUGUAGCGGUGAAAUGCGUAGAGAUCGGGAGGAACACCCGUAGCGAAGGCGGCCGACUGGACCACACCUGACGCUGAGGCGCGAAGGCCAGGGGAGCGAACGAG